rnacentral:rRNA from 1 species
GACGAACGCUGGCGGCGUGCUUAACACAUGCAAGUCGAACGGAAAGGCCCUGCUUUUGUGGGGUGCUCGAGUGGCGAACGGGUGAGUAACACGUGAGUAACCUGCCCUUGACUUUGGGAUAACUUCAGGAAACUGGGGCUAAUACCGGAUAGGAGCUCCUGCUGCAUGGUGGGGGUUGGAAAGUUUCGGCGGUUGGGGAUGGACUCGCGGCUUAUCAGCUUGUUGGUGGGGUAGUGGCUUACCAAGGCUUUGACGGGUAGCCGGCCUGAGAGGGUGACCGGCCACAUUGGGACUGAGAUACGGCCCAGACUCCUACGGGAGGCAGCAGCGGGGAAUAUUGCACAAUGGGCGGGAGCCUGAUGCAGCAACGCCGCGUGCGGGAUGACGGCCUUCGGGUUGUAAACCGCUUUCGCCUGUGACGAAGCGUGAGUGACGGUAAUGGGUAAAGAAGCACCGGCUAACUACGUG